GUUGACUAAUAGCUCAGUCAGUAAAGCAACAGACGCUGAAUCUCAAGGUCAUGGGUUUGAGCCCCAUGUUCGACA